GAGAGAGAGAGAGAGAGAGAGAGAGAGAGAGAGGGGGGGGGAAGGGUCGAAUGGAAGGAGAAAAGAAGCCAUCGUCAUCUUCGAUUGCCGAUGAACUGUUAGACAUCAGGAAGAGUGCGGGGACGCCCGCCGAUUCCUCCUUUUCCUCUUCUUCUUCUUCCGCCUUGUCGCCCGGCUACUUCAGCAGUGUCUUCCCCACUGGUUCCACGGAGAUGUCUAAGGAUUCAGCAGAGAGUGACUUGUUCUGGACCUCCAGCGAGCGAAGGACAGAUGAUCUGAUCGGGAACGCUCAGGCCGCUGCAGCAGAUGGGAAAUCUCAGGGAAGUCCCAGCAGAAGGCAAACUACGUGGAGCAAGGAUGGUAAACUAGUCGAUCCCAAUCAAUCAGAAGAAUCGACCUACUUGUGCUCAUCUGUGCACUAUGGUGGUCGAGAUUUCUAUGUCAGCUCUCCUUCCAACCAAGUCUCUGGAGCUCCAAAAAGUGAUAAAAAAUCUGAUGAAGGGGAUGAUUCAGGUGACGCUAACAUUGCAAACAGAGGUGAAUGGUGGCAAGGUUCCCUGUACUACUGAAGACACUGAUUAGAUCAGUAUGCUCUUCUUUUAAUAGAGGAGGAAGAUGUUAUUAUUGAAGUGAUGAACAGGGGAGGCAACAUGAGAUUAAAAGUUGGUGUUUAGAGAGCUACUGCUGUCUCGGUGUGCUAGCUACUUACAGGAGUCAGCAUAACCACCAUAUGAAGUGUCACUUCCCAGUUCUUUCUCGGGGUCUUCGAUUCGCACGUAGUAAGAUACUACUGUCUAUGUACGAAGUAAUUGUCUUUGUACGUAAUUUCAGGUCUGGGCAGCAGAGAAGCUGUUUCGAGUCGUCGCCUCCAGCUUCUACCGCAGUGUGGCUGUCAGGUUGCUCACAAAUGUAUAUUUUAAUGCACAUAAUAAGCUUUUAUUAGUGGUUUGUUUGGA